UUUCUUCUCUCCUCUCUCUCUCUCUCUCUCAAGUUCUCAUUGUCCUCUUCAGCCGUCUUCCUCCCUCCCGUAUCCUUUCUCACCCUCUUCUCUUCCACGCAACAGUGCCACCAUCGGCCGGUCACCAACGACCAGCAAAUCUUACCUCUAGAGUCCUCUUCCCGUCCUUUUUCCAACCUCCAAGUUAGUUUCUAAAAAUUCAUAGCCGAAUUUCUUCAAUUUUAGAUCUAAUAAACAGUGACCGCGGGGUUUCCAGCCAAUUUCCGGCAAAGCCUGCCGGAAUUGGACCUAGACCCAAAAGGUAAAAACGAUCCUCUCCUUGACGGCUAUCCUCCAGUGUAAGUGCUUUUCCAAAAUAAAAGGUUUUAGUUAUGGGAUCAAUUCUAGAUUUCAAAUUUUAAUUACAUUAUCAAUAUGCAUGUAUCGGGGAAGGUGAAUUAAAGUUGUUUCCAACCUGGGCCGACCCUCACAAGCGUCCUUCACUUCCACAUCCAUGGAUCCACUCUCUGUUUGGGUAAAAUUCAUUUUUUUUUUUUAAUUUUUUUAUUCUGGAUAAUUGUUGAAAUUAUUCACCUGAUAAAUUUAUACAUGUGUAGGUAUUUUAAUUAUUUGGUCUAUUUUUUCCAGAAUUUUUUUUGUUUGGUAUGAACUUGCAGGUUGGAAUUAUUUUCUCGGCUGCUUAGGUUUCUCUUGAUGAUUUAAGGUUAGAGAAAGUUGAUUGAGAUCAUGGCAACGAUAAGAAUAGAGUCCCCUGUUUUGAGCUCUGGUUUGUGAGAAAUUUUUGUCGGCAAAGUUACUUGCGCCUUCCAACCAACAGUAGCAGUAACGUGAGAGUCUUCAUGGCUGAUAUUACGACUGCAAACCUCUUGAAAAACUACAUUUCCCAGGACUCAACUGAACCCAAUCUUGACUAGGAGUUUGUAGAAGACUUGGUGUUUCUUCUUCUCGGUUCAACGAAUACCAUAGCUGCUGGAGCUUCACCUGGUUAGAGUUUCAAUAUGAGGCUGUCAAAGCAAGGGAUGUCAAUACCAUGUUAUCUGUGGCGGUUGAAGGUUGUUUGGCGUCCGACAAAUUCAAAUGAGAUUUGGAAGUACCAGCAAGCUAGCCUUCCUAUUUGGACAUUCCACGCUUUGAAGAUUUAAGUAUCACCGACAAGCUGGCCUACCUAUUUUGGACUAAUUUUGUUUUGAAUUCGACUAUAUUUGUUAUAGCUUCUGAUGAGGUGCAAGGCUUGCUGGGGAAAAUGCAUCUGUCCAAAAAUAUGUGCUUUCAAGUUUUAUUGUAUUAGAGAUAAAAUAUGUAACAUUACAUUAUGUUUGUGAGAUUGGGAAUGUGUUGUAGGCCUUUUCAUUUUAAGAAAAUCAAAAAUUUUCAU